rnacentral:rRNA from 1 species
UACGUAGGGGGCAAGCGUUGUCCGGAUUCAUUGGCGUAAAGAGCGUGUAGGCGGCCAGGUAGGUCGGUUGUGAAAACUGGAGGCUCAACCUUCAGAGGUCGACCGAAACCAUCUGGCUAGAGUCCGGAGAGGAGAGUGGAAUUCCGUGGUGUAGCGGUGAAAUGCGCAGAUAUCAGGAAGAACACCCGUGGCGAAGGCGGCGUCUCUGGGACGGUACUGACGCUGAGACGCGAAAGCGUGGGAGCGAACAGG